GUGCAGACCAUUAUGCUGAACAUUUUGUAUAAACAAUCUGACCGUGCAGUUUGCUCCCUGGUCAGUCUUGGACCCAAGCAUGGGUUGACAUUAGUUGCUAGUUGUUACAUUUCAUCCUGGUUUGGCUGAAGAUCUGAGUGGCAGUUCUAAGCCUUCUGGAAACUUAGCACAGGGUUGCAACAGAGCAGGUGCUGCUGUCGGGACUCAUAGGUGUCGUCUCCUGGAAGAGGCCUC
rnacentral:lncRNA from 1 species